rnacentral:rRNA from 1 species
CCUGCCUCGGGGGCAGCAGUGAGGAAUAUUGGUCAAUGGACGAGAGUCUGAACCAGCCAAGUAGCGUGAAGGAUGACUGCCCUAUGGGUUGUAAACUUCUUCUAUAUGGGAAUAAAGUUUUCCACGUGUGGAAUUUUGUAUGUACCAUAUGAAUAAGGAUCGGCUAACUCCGUGCCAGCAGCCGCGGUAAUACGGAGGAUCCGAGCGUUAUCCGGAUUUAUUGGGUUUAAAGGGAGCGUAGGUGGAUUGUUAAGUCAGUUGUGAAAGUUUGUGGCUCAACCGUAAAAUUGCAGUUGAAACUGGCA